CGACCGGCGCACGGGUGAGUAACGCGUAUGCAACUUACCUAUCAGGAGGGGAUAACCCGGCGAAAGUCGGACUAAUACCGCAUAAAGCAGGGAUCCCGCAUGGGAAUAUUUGCUAAAGAUUCAUCGCUGAUAGAUAGGCAUGCGUUCCAUUAGGCAGUUGGCGGGGUAACGGCCCACCAAACCGACGAUGGAUAGGGGUUCUGAGAGGAAGGUCCCCCACAUUGGAACUGAGACACGGUCCAA
rnacentral:rRNA from 1 species